AUGAAUAUAAAAAUCUGACCUUAUGGGAGGUAUAGGAUGAAUAAUGUCUGAUCUUGUUGGAAAAUGAAUUAUGAUUGAUCCAGUCUGAAGAUAAAUGAUGAGGUUGGCUUGCUUUUUCAGUGUAGAAAUUUCUGAGAUGUAAAGGUUGACAGAAGAGGUAGGAAUAGUUUUUAUUUACGCUGUAAUGUAGGAUGCUACUGGGGAAGAUAGGGUAUAAGUGAAGAGAAGAAUUCAAGAAUAGAUUUCUUUUGUCAAUUGAAGAAGGAAAGGAAGCAAGAAAUUUAAAUCUUAUUGG
rnacentral:misc_RNA from 1 species